UUGUAAUUUGUAGAAAUGCUUCGGGUGUGGUCCCGGUCUAAGUUCCUUGGAACAGGACGUCAUAGAGGGUGAGAAUCCCGUAUGUGACUGGGUACCUACGCUCAUGUGAAGCUCUUUCGACGAGUCGAGUUGUUUGGGAAUGCAGCUCUAAAAUGGGUGGUAUAUUUCAUCUAAAAGCUAAAUAUUGGCCAGAGACCGAUAGCGCCACAAGUAGAGUGAUCGAAAGAUGAAAAGCACUUUGGAAAGGAGAGUUAAACAGUACGUGAAAUUGUUUGAAAGGGAAGCGCUUGCAAUCAGACUUGCGCCUGGUGUUCAGCGGGGUUUCGUGCCCCGUGUACUUCAUCAGGGUUCAGGCCAGCAUCGGUUUGGGUGGUUAGAUAAAGGCCUUGAGAAUGUGGCCCUCUUCGGGGGGGUGUUAUAGCUCUCGGUGCAAUGUAGCCUACCUGGACCGAGGACCGCGCUUCGGCUAGGAUGCUGGCGUAAUGGUUGUAAGCGACCCGUCUUGAAACACGGACCCAAGGAGUUGAAUAUCUAUGCGAGUGUUUGGGUGUUAAACCCCUACCGCGUAAUGAAAGUGAACGGAGGUGAGAACCCUUUAGGGUGCAUCAUCGACCGAUCCUGAUGUCUUCGGAUGGAUUUGAGUAAGAGCAUAGCUAUUCUGACCCGAAAGAUGGUGAUCUAUACGUGAAUAGGGUGAAGCCAGAGGAAACUCUGGUGGAGGCUCGCAGCGGUUCUGACGUGCAAAUCGAUCGUCAAAUUUGCGUAUAGGGGCGAAAGACUAAUCGAACCAUCUAAGUAGCUGGUCUCCUGCCGAAGUUUCCCUCAGGGAAUAGCAGUGUUGGUUUUCAGUUUUAUGAGGUAAAGCGAAUGAUUAGAGGGCCCUUGGGGUUGAAACAACCUUAACCUAUUCUCAAACUUUAAAUAUGUAAGAAGUCCUUGUUACUUAAUUGAACGUGGACAUUCGAAUGUACCAACACUAGUGGGGCCAUUUUUGGUAAGCAGAACUGGCGAUGCGGGAUGAACCGAACGCGAGGUUAAGGUGCCGGAAUGUACGCUCAUCAGACACCACAAAAGGUGUUAGUUCAUCUAGACAGCAGGACGGUGGCCAUGGAAGUCGGAAUCCGCUAAGGAAUGUGUAACAACUCACCUGCCGAAUGAACUAGCCCUGAAAAUGGAUGGCGCU
rnacentral:rRNA from 1 species